rnacentral:rRNA from 1 species
GAUUAACGCUGGCGGUACGUCUAAUACAUGCAAGUCGAACGGGGUAGGUAACUACCCAGUGGCGAACGGGUGAGUAACACGUAGGUAACCUGCCUACAAGUUGGGGAUAACACAAGGAAACUUGUGCUAAUACCGAAUAAUGAUGUUUUUAGGCAUCUAAAAACAUUUAAAGGACCGUUAGGUCUGCUUGAAGAGGGGCCUGCGGCGCAUUAGUUAGUUGGUAAGGUAAUGGCUUACCAAGACGAUGAUGCGUAGCUGGACUGAGAGGUUGAACAGCCACAUUGGGACUGAGAAACGGCCCAGACUCCUACGGGAGGCAGCAGUAGAGAAUCUUCGGCAAUGGGGGAAACCCUGACCGAGCGAUACCGCGUGAGUGAUGAAAUACUUCGGUAUGUAAAAUUCUUUUAUUAAAGAAGAAUGAUAUAAAUAGGCAAUGAUUUAUGAGUGACGUUAUUUAAUGAAUAAGUCCCGGCUAACUAUGUGCCAGCAGCCGCGGUAAUACAUAGGGGACGAGCGUUAUCCGGAAUAAUUGGGCGUAAAGGGUGCGUAGGCGGUGUGUUAAGUUCAAGGUUUAAUCGUAGGGCUCAACCCUAUAUCGCUUUGAAAACUGGCACACUAGAGUAAGAUAGAGGCAAGUGGAAUUCCAUGUGUAGCGGUAAAAUGCGUAAAUAUAUGGCAGAACACCAGAGGCGAAGGCGGCUUGCUGGGUCUUCACCGACGCUGAGGCACGAAAGCGUGGGGAGCAAACAGGAUUAGAUACCCUGGUAGUCCACGCCGUAAACGAUGAGCACUAAAAGUCGGGGUUAUUCGGCUUUCAAGUUAACGCGAUAAGUGCUCCGCCUGAGUAGUACGUACGCAAGUAUAAAACUCAAAGGAAUUGGCGGGACCUCGCACAAGCGGUGGAUCAUGUUGUUUAAUUCGUUGAUACGCGAUGAACCUUACCAGGCCUUGACAUACCUUGCAAUGCACCAGAAAUGGACGCGGAGGUUAUCAGGGAUACAGGUGGUGCAUGGUUGUCGUCAGCUCGUGUCGUGAGAUGUUAGGUUAAGUCCUGCAACGAGCGCAACUCUUAUUGCUAUUUGCCAUCAUUCAGUUGGGCACUAUAGUGAGACUGCCAGUGAUAAACUGGAGGAAGGUGGGAAUGACGUCAAAUCAUCAUGCCCCUUAUGGCCUGGGCCACAAACGUGAUACAAUGGUUGUCACAAAAGGAUGCUAGAAAGUGAUUUUAGGCAAAUCCUUAAAUACAAUCUCAGUUCGGAUUGAAGUCUGCAACUCGACUUCAUGAAGUCGGAAUCGCUAGUAAUCGUAGAUCAGAACGCUACGGUGAAUACGUUCUCGAGGUUUGCACACACCGCCCGUCAAACCACGAAAGUUAACAAUACCCAAAACCGGUGGCCUAACUUUAUAAGAAGGAGCCGUCUAAGGUAGGGUUAAUGAUUGGGGU